AUGCUCGCUCUGGCAGCACAUCUACUAAAAUUGGAGCUAUACAGAGAAGAUUAGCAUGGGCCCUGUGCAAAGAUGACACGUAAAUUCAUGAAGCAUUCCAUAUUUUU